ACAGAGCAUGACUCCGGAAACACCGGAGCUUCUGAGCAGGGCCUAUUUCUAAAAAUGAUCGGAGGAGAAGAUGCUGCUGCAGUGUGAGCUGAGCAAGUAGCAGGCAACUGACAUCCGGAGAAAGAGAGGGAAAGCUUAAAGCAGGGUGGUGAUCAUGACCAUCCAGUGCCGGUCAGUUGUCUAUAGAAGGGGUGGUCUUCAGCUGCAUGACCCACACCACUGUCAGAGUUGAGGCGUCUGUCAGCCAAGAAGGUGGUGCUACGCGAGCUUCUCAUUGAGCGAUCCUUCAACUAUUCAGCACUGCAAACAGCUUUAGGAGCAGACAGUGCAACAGUUAUGUAGCCCAUACACUUGUGAGAUAUCAGGUACAAUCCUUCGAUUUCAACGGCAUCUUUGAGAGAAAUCGAAGGAUUGUAUGCACAUUUUAGGUACCUUGCGACGCGAUGUGCGGGCACGCCGGUCGAAUCUCGCGUCUCAAGACAGUAUAUUCUGCACUUAAUAUUUAUCGCAUCGCAGUGCGAUCGCAUGUGUUUUUAUAAACACAUGCAAUAUAUCGCACUGUGAUGGGCACCCGCUGGGAGUGGCCAGAUGCCGCUCCCACUCGGCGGUGACGUGCCCAUCACAUGAUUACCAUGCGAUCUAUUGCAUGGUAAUCACUUUGGCAGUACAGGUGCGAUUUCAUCGCACCUGAACUGCCGGUACGAUGCCCAGCGAUGUCGCGGCGUGGGGCAUCGCACAAGUGUAUGGGAACCAUUACACUUAUGCUACAGAUUUCCAUCUCUACAAAACCUAAACCUGUCACUCACCAUAUACCUUUAACUAUAACAUGUAUUCAGAGACAUUAGGACAGUUCUGGAGGUGACAGGGAGAACUACUAGUUUAACGUUGAUGAGGAAGAGAGACUGUUGUCCAUUAUCGCUGUAUUGGUAGGACAUCAUCACUAGCUCAGAGAAGGAAAGUUACCUUAUGAUACCACAAAAAUCUGUAAAAGGAAUGACAUUUUACAGCGAGGAAACAAGAUGAUUGAUGAUUUUAGAAAUGCUACAGGAAAUGUGGUGUGCGGGCUGCAGUUCAAUGCAAGUACCAUGGAAGGAAAAAUGUGGGAUUAAAGUCACCUCAGUCAGUAACCAGAUAUGGACAUGUACCAAAUGGAUUCUAUCACAAGAAUCCUGAGGAACUCUCUAAUCUGUUGAAGUUAACUGGUCCAGCUAACCUCUGUCCAUGUGGAACACUCCUUCCCUUCCCAGCUGUAUUCUGUCUCCUUUCUCCUUAUCUCUACACUCUCAUUUGUUUCCCCUUUCUCUCCUCUUCAUAUGGAUCUGUUAUAUUGUUUAGUAACUGUCUCCUAUUACUG